UCACUUCAGUAGCACAUAUACUUAAAUUGGAAUGGUACAGUGAAGAUUAGCAUGUCCCCUAUACAAGGAUAACACUGUUUUAUAUAUUUUUUAAAAAGUUUU
rnacentral:snRNA from 1 species